rnacentral:tRNA from 1 species
UCGGGUGUGGUUCAUUUGGUGGAGUGUUUGCCUAACAUGCAAGCAGUCCUGGGUUCUAUCCCUAGCACCAUAU